GAUGAACGCUAGCGGCAGGCUUAAUACAUGCAAGUCGUGGGGCAGCAUGAAUGUAGCAAUACAUUUGAUGGCGACCGGCAAACGGGUGCGGAACACGUACACAACCUUCCUAUAAGUGGGGAAUAGCCCAGAGAAAUUUGGAUUAAUACCCCGUAACAUAACGAUGUGGCACCACAUUGUUAUUAUAGCUUCGGCGCUUAUUGAUGGGUGUGCGGCUGAUUAGAUAGUUGGCGGGGUAACGGCCCACCAAGUCUACGAUCAGUAGCUGAUGUGAGAGCAUGAUCAGCCACACGAGCACUGAGACACGGGCCCGACUCCUACGGGAGGCAGCAGUAAGGAAUAUUGGUCAAUGGACGCAAGUCUGAACCAGCCAUGCCGCGUGAAGGAUUAAGGUCCUCUGGAUUGUAAACUUCUUUUAUCUGGGACGAAAAAAGGCUUUUCUAAGUCACUUGACGGUACCAGAUGAAUAAGCACCGGCUAACUCCGUGCCAGCAGCCGCCGCCGUAA
rnacentral:rRNA from 1 species